rnacentral:rRNA from 1 species
CAGUCGCCGCGGUAAUACGGGGGGGGCAAGUGUUAUUCGGAAUGACUGGGCGUAAAGCGUGCGUAGGCGGCUUCUUAAGUCGGAUGUGAAAUCCCUGAGCUUAACUUAGGAAUUGCAUUCGAUACUGGGAAGCUAGAGUAUGGGAGAGGAUGGUAGAAUUCCAGGUGUAGCGGUGAAAUGCGUAGAGAUCUGGAGGAAUACCGAUGGCGAAGGCAGCCAUCUGGCCUAAUACUGACGCUGAGGUACGAAAGCAUGGGGAGCAAACAGGAUUAGAUACCCGCGUAGUCCCUGUCUCUUAUAC